AUUGAACGCUGGCGGCAGGCCUAACACAUGCAAGUCGAGCGGUAGAGAGAAGCUUGCUUCUCUUGAGAGCGGCGGACGGGUGAGUAAUGCCUAGGAAUCUGCCUGGUAGUGGGGGAUAACGUUCGGAAACGGACGCUAAUACCGCAUACGUCCUACGGGAGAAAGCAGGGGACCUUCGGGCCUUGCGCUAUCAGAUGAGCCUAGGUCGGAUUAGCUAGUUGGUGGGGUAAUGGCCCACCAAGGCGACGAUCCGUAACUGGUCUGAGAGGAUGAUCAGUCACACUGGAACUUAGACACGGUCCAGACUCCUACGGGAGGCAGCAGUGGGGAAUAUUGGACAAUGGGCGAAAGCCUGAUCCAGCCAUGCCGCGUGUGUGAAGAAGGUCUUCGGAUUGUAAAGCACUUUAAGUUGGGAGGAAGGGCAGUAAAUUAAUACUUUGCUGUUUUGACGUUACCGACAGAAUAAGCACCGGCUAACUCUGUG
rnacentral:rRNA from 1 species